AAAUAGAAAUGAAAAACCAGAAGUAACAACUGACACUGCAGAAAUACAAAGGAUCAUGAGAAAUUACUACAAUCAAAUAUAUGCCAAUAAAAUGGACCACCUGGAAGAAAUGGACAAAUUCUUAGAAAGGCACAACAGUCCAAGACUGAACUAGG